UUACGGCCUUAUCGUACAGAAACACCGGUUCUAGUUCGAUUAACGAAGUUAAGCAACGUCGUUUCUGGUAAGUACCUAGAUAGGUGACAGCUUGGGAAUACCAAGUGCUGUAAG